rnacentral:rRNA from 1 species
CCUACGGGAGGCUGCAGUGAGGAAUAUUGGUCAAUGGACGAGAGUCUGAACCAGCCAAGUAGCGUGAAGGAUGACUGCCCUAUGGGUUGUAAACUUCUUUUAUAUGGGAAUAAAAUGUUCCACGUGUGGGAUUUUGUAUGUACCAUAUGAAUAAGGAUCGGCUAACUCCGUGCCAGCAGCCGCGGUAAUACGGAGGAUCCGAGCGUUAUCCGGAUUUAUUGGGUUUAAAGGGAGCGUAGGUGGAUUGUUAAGUCAGUUGUGAAAGUUUGCGGCUCAACCGUAAAAUUGCAGUUGAAACUGGCAGUCUUGAGUAAAGUAGAGGUGGGCGGAAUUCGUGGUGUAGCGGUGAAAUGCUUAGAUAUCACGAAGAACUCCGAUUGCGAAGGCAGUUCACUGGACUGCAACUGACACUGAGGCUCGAAAGUGUGGGUAUCAAACAGGAUUAGAUACCCGUGUAGUC